AGCAUAUCAAUAAGUGGAGGAAAAAGAAACUAACAAGGAUUCCCCUAGUAACGGCGAGUGAAGCGGGAAGAGCUCAAAUUUAAAAUCUGGCAGGCUACGCUUGUCCGAAUUGUAAUCUCGAGAAGUGUUUUCCGCGUUGGCCUGUGUACAAGUCCCUUGGAACAGGGCGUCAUAGAGGGUGAGAAUCCCGUCCUUGACACAGACACCCAAUGCUUUGUGAUACACUCUCAAUGAGUCGAGUUGUUUGGGAAUGCAGCUCAAAAUGGGUGGUAAAUUCCAUCUAAAGCUAAAUACUGGCGAGAGACCGAUAGCGAACAAGUACCGUGAGGGAAAGAUGAAAAGCACUUUGGAAAGAGAGUCAAACAGUACGUGAAAUUGUUGAAAGGGAAACGAUUGAAGUCAGUCGUGCCUGCCUAGAUUCAGCCUUCUGGUGUAUUUCUAGGUCGGCAGGUCAGCAUCAGUUUGGGGGGGUUAACAAGGGAGCUGGGAAUGUGGCAACCUCGGUUGUGUUAUAGCCCAGUUUCGCAUUGAUCUCGCUGGACUGAGGAACGCAGUGCGCCCGCAAGGGUUGGUCUUCGGACACAUUCGCACUUAGGAUGCUGGCAUAAUGGCUUUAAACGACCCG
rnacentral:rRNA from 1 species